rnacentral:rRNA from 1 species
CUGAAUAGGGCGCAUAAGUAACAGGUCGUAGACCCGAAACCAGGUGAUCUACCCAUGUCCAGGAUGAAGGUAAGGUAAUACUUACUGGAGGUCCGAACCCACGCACGUUGAAAAGUGCGGGGAUGAGGUGUGGGUAGCGGAGAAAUUCCAAUCGAACUUGGAGAUAGCUGGUUCUCUCCGAAAUAGCUUUAGGGCUAGCCUCGAGGUAAAGAGUCAUGGAGGUAGAGCACUGUUUGGACUAGGGGCCCUUCUCGGGUUACCGAAUUCAGAUAAACUCCGAAUGCCAUGUACUUAUACUCGGGAGUCAGACUGCGAGUGAUAAGAUCCGUAGUCGAAAGGGAAACAGCCCAGACCACCAGUUAAGGUCCCCAAAUAUAUGUUAAGUGGAAAAGGAUGUGGGGUUGCUUAGACAACCAGGAUGUUGGCUUAGAAGCAGCCACCAUUGAAAGAGUGCGUAAUAGCUCACUGGUCGAGUGACCCCGCGCCGAAAAUGUACCGGGGCUAAACAUAUU